rnacentral:rRNA from 1 species
GUCGGCUACCCGGGAAACUGGGGAUAUUCCGGAUAGAUCAUAGAUGCUGGAAUGCGCUUUGAUCCAAAGCUAUUGUGCCUAAGGAUGGGUCUGCGGUCUAUCAGGUUGUAGUGGGUGUAAUGUACCUACUAGCCUACGACGGAUACGGGUUGUGGGAGCAAGAGCCCGGAGAUGGAUUCUGAGACAUGAAUCCAGGCCCUACGGGGCGCAGCAGGCGCGAAAACUUUACAAUGCGGGGAACCGCGAUAAGGGGACACCGAGUGCCAGCAUCCUAUGUUGGCUGUCCAUAUGUCUAAAUCACAUGUGUUAGCAAGGGCCGGGCAAGACCGGUGCCAGCCGCCGCGGUAACACCGGCGGCCCGAGUGGUGGCCACUAUUAUUGGGUCUAAAGGGUCCGUAGCCGGUUUGGUCAGUCUUCCGGGAAAUCUGACGGCUCAACCGUUAGGCUUUCGGGGGAUACUACCAGGCUUGGGACCGGGAGAGGUAAGAGGUACUACGGGGGUAGGAGUGAAAUCUUGUAAUCCCUGUGGGACCACCAGUGGCGAAGGCGUCUUACCAGAACGGGUCCGACGGUGAGGGACGAAAGCUGGGGGCACGAACCGGAUUAGAUACCCGGGUAGUCCCAGCUGUAAACUAUGCUCGCUAGAUGUCAGGGACGGUGCGACCGUUUCUGGUGCC